AUCCUUGCAGCUGGCUGUGUGCCAGGCAGCCCGGGCAGGCCCCAGGUCCCGGCCGCCAUUCUGCAGAGACUCCUGAGUCCGUGAAGUGGAUCCAGGGCCUCCAACCGCCCCAGCUGAUCUGCCAGGAAAGGGGUCCCUGCUGCCCGGGGGCUGCCUCGGCUGGCGCCACGUGGAGAUGAACAGGAGACAACUCACUGGAGCCCGUGGCACAGCCUGAGGGAGACAACUCACGGGAGCCCGUGGCACAGCCUGAGGGAGACAACUCACUGGAGCCCGUGGCACAGCCUGAGGGAGACAACUCACGGGAGCCCGUGGCACAGCCUGAGGGGUCUCUGGGUUGCCCACAGCUUCCCCAGGAGCUCACACAGGUCAGGCCAAGGGGAAGGGAGCCCAGUGCACACCCCCAGGCUCUGCGGUCCGAAUGCUUGUGUUCCCAAAAAUUCACAUGGAAUCCUCACCUCCCAGAGUGCUCCCCAGCCCCUUCCACCAUGGGAGGACGCGGCACAGGGUGCCGUUACCACCUGGGAAGCACAGCCUCACCAGACGCGGAAACUGCUGGAGCAGAGACCUUGGCUUCCAGCCUCCAGCGCCAAGAGGAGCGGAUUCCUGUCGUGGGCCAGCGUGUUCUGCGUGGUGGCCGGGAUGGACCGAGACUGGGUAGAUGCCAUCCUGACUGCUGACGUUUGGGACGUGAGACAUCUGGGGGCAUGGGGCAGCCCGCUGCGGCCAGGUGGGGUCAUGGGGCAGCCCACUGGGGUCAGGUGGAGGUCACGGGGCAGCCCGCUGGGGUCAGGUGGGGUCACGGGGCAGCCCGUUGGGGUCAGGUGGGUGUCACGGGGCAGCCCGCUGGGGUCAGGUGGUUCACGGGGCAGCUGGGCUCAGGUGGGGUGGGUGGGAUAUUCAGCCGCUUCCGAUUAUUUUCAGUAAAUUACUUCCAGGCCACACAUAUCUCAUUUCUCUUCUGAAAAACCCGUCUCAAAAACUCCCUUUCUCUUGAUAUUUCUCUGGCCAAGUCUACCCUGCAACACGCUGGUAAAAUGUAAAAUUCCUUCGCACGAGAGUGAAGAGGAUGAUCCCCAGGUGCGUCUCUCCAUUCCCGGGUCCUAACGAUUCCUCCUUAAGCCGGCUACCUGCGCGGGGGCCACGCUCUCCCACUGGGAGGAUGGUUUCUGGGACAUGCGGCGUCUCCUCCUUGUGCCUGUGCGUCUGAGAGAACUGGGGCGUCUCCUUGAACUGGGACGUCUCCUCCUCGUGCCUGUGUGGUCUGAGAGAACUGGGGCGUCUCCUCCAACUGGGGCGUCUCCUCCUCGUGCCUGUGCGUCUGAGAGAACUGCGGGGUCUCCUCCUCGUGCCUGUGUGGUCUGAGAGAACUGCGGGGUCUCCUCCUCGUGCCUGUGCGGUCUGAGAGAACUGCGGUGGCCCCUUGUGGGCCUCUUGGUUCUGGGGACAGAGGACACUUUUCACUCAGCCCGGGGACCUUUGGUUCUUUCUGUGAAGAUGGCGCCCAUGAGAUGACGCCUUGUGACUCAGGUACCUCAGCCCUGCGCCUCCGUCUCUGCGUCUCUGUAUUGGGUUGGUGGCGUCCACACUGUCUGCGUCGUUGCUGAGCAUCCCAGGUCCCCACUCAGCCCGGCCUCGUGUUUUCUCUUGUCCUCCUGACUGGAGUUCCAGUUCUUACCUUGCAGAUGGUGCGCUUGUCACCCUCUGCCGUCUCCACAGCAUCUGGGCCGGGUCCCCCCAGG
rnacentral:lncRNA from 10 species